CUUGCAGGCCACGGUUCUUACUAGUUGGAGAGCCAGGAUGUGGGCAAGCUUCUCAUUUGGCACCUGCGGUAAUACAUGCCCUGGAAAAGUUUCCAGUUUAUACGCUAGACCUACCUGCUUUGUUUGUUACCGCCACAUCACCGGAAGAAACAUGUGCACGGUUGAUGCGAGAAGCUCAAAGAACAGCGCCGAGUAUCAUUUAUAUCCCACAUAUCCAUUUGUGGUGGGAGGCUGUUGGAGCUACACUGAAAGCUACUUUUACAACACUGCUGCAGAACAUUCCAGCAUUUGCUCCAGUUUUGCUGCUUGCAACAUCCGAUGUGUGUCACGCAGAUCUCCCAACAGAGAUAAAAGAAUUGUUUAUUGAUGAUUAUGAAGAAGUUUUCAAAAUCCAGUUGCCUAAUGAGGAAGAAAGAAGAAUGUUUUUUGAGGACUUAAUUGUAAAUCAAGCUGCUAAAGCUCCUGC